UGCCUGCUUCUAGGAUUCCCAAAAAGUAAGCGUUUAGAAUGUUAAUUAAGAAACCAAGUAAUCAUUAUAUACAAUGUUAUAAUAAUAAGACAGAUGCUAUGUCCCCAAUCACAGCAGCUGCAGAACCAAGGUUAACCCAACUGUGUUGGUCUCCAACACUCCUCCCUCAUCAAACCCCUCAGCUACUGUCUCUUUUCAAUGCUCCACUUGAAACAAAGAACAACUGUGGCUUUCUAAAAUGCUCUGGAAUCCACAUAAUUAAGAAGCAACCCAUCUACUAGCGAGACUCAACUCUUAGGACAUCUACAAUGGUCUGGGAAAAGGACUCACCUCCCUGGAGCCUGGAUUGUCCUGAGCUGAGCCCUGACUGCUCCUGGCUAAUCAGGACCCUGAGGCUGGCGAGUAACACUGAAAGCCAAGAGCUUGGCGCUUGUUUGGUCUUGGACUGUGUUGCCAGCUUAUGGCUUUGAAAACAUCUACCACCACCCCAGCUAUGAACCAACUUGACUCUCUAGAAGAGAAGUCUUUCUAGCAUGCAAUAGCGAUAGUGUAACCACUGGCCAUUCUAUUGCAUCCCCAGGAGGUGAGGUGAAGAACACACAAGUCAUGUGCCUUCCACUCAUCUUUACCAUAUAUGAACCUUAAUACCGCAGUAGGUGCUCAACUGCCUUCUCCCUGUUUUGAGGGGAAGGGGGGGGUAUCCUAUUUCUAUUGUUUUUUUAUAGUUUGCUCACUAUUCUAUAAAAAUAUUUUACAGAGCAUUUGAAAAUUUGAGAUCCUGCUACUCAGGCUGAGAUUUGAAGAUCAGGUUCAAAGCUA